AUACGGCCCCUCUUCGAGGCGAAUAGAUAGAGGAGUCCGUUGCCACCUCCCCCUUCUGCGUAGUGGAAACUACUGCCCCGGGGCGGGGGCUGAAAAGUGACGGUUGGAUGGGAGAAGGGGACAGAGAUGCGUGGGUAAAUACCUAGGAGUGGAAUUGUGGAAUCAUAUGAACAAAGUCAGAGGAACCAACUGCUGGCUGUUGUUCAUUGGCUAAUUUUUGUUAAGACUAUCCUCUCUGGAACUAUUCUGAGUAUUCUCUGAAGAGUGGAGAAUGUACCCUACAAUUAGCUGGGCUUCCUGUGCCUCUGCCACGUGGCCAAGAAUUUCACCCAGAUGGUUGCUGGUCCAAGCAGUAGGAGAGAUGUGGAGCAGACCUGGGCUUAAUCUGCAGCCGAAAGCUAGGUAGGCCCAGCUGACCUAGAGACACUGGAUAGAAGUUGGUUGCUAUAAGUAUUGAAUUGUGGUUUGGUUUGUUAUGCAAUAUAUUGCAGUGAUAGCUGUUA